rnacentral:tRNA from 1 species
GCCCUGUAGUUGACUCUUACAACAUCGAACUGCAGACUCGAAAGCGUGCUACCGCACUUGGGCU